AUCCGCCAGAGAAUUACACGUGAAAAACUUAAAACUCAAAGGACUUGACGGUGGCCCACAUCCCCCUAGAGGAGCCUGUCCUUUAAUCGAUAACCCACGAUAAACCUUACCCCCCCUUAUAAUAUUAGCCUAUAUACCGCCGUCGCCAGCCUACCUAAUGAUAGAAAUAUAGCAGGUAUAACAGUGAACCACUAACACGUCAGGUCAAGGCGUAGCUAAUGAGGUGGAAAGAGAUGGGCUACAUUUUCUAAAAUACAAGACCACACCGUAGGCCCAAUGAAAUAUGAGCCGAAAGUCGGAUUUAGCAGUAAGAGAUGACAAGACAUGUCUAACUGAAGCCUGCUCUGGGUCGCGUACACACC
rnacentral:rRNA from 1 species